rnacentral:rRNA from 1 species
AGAGUUUGAUCCUGGCUCAGGACGAACGCUGGCGGCGUGCUUAACACAUGCAAGUCGAGCGGAAAGGCCCUUCGGGGUACUCGAGCGGCGAACGGGUGAGUAACACGUGAGCAACCUGCCCCUAGCUCUGGGAUAGCUCCGGGAAACCGGGAUUAAUACCGGAUAUGACCCUGAUCGGCAUCGAUCAGGGUGGAAAGAUU